UUGGACUAUUUUAACGAUGUUGUAACAGUUUUGACCUGUCACAAUAGUUGUCCCUUGGUAUGUAAGGCUUAGACCUGACACUAGGGGGAGGUAGUGGGCUUAUUGGUUUUGGAUAUCAGUAAGGCAAUGAUAGAAGAAGUGAGAUUGGUUUGGGAACAAACAGCAUUGUGCUUGUGUGCCACUCUUAAGAGUCCAGACUGGGAAUCUAUGGGAUUUUCUGCUCAGUCAAUAAGGACUCUUUAGUCCUUACUGAUAAUAUCCAGGAGGAUUGUUCAUCAAAAGAACUGUUUAACCUGAGGACACCCUACUGCUACCACCUUGAUAUCUGAAGGGUUGGUGGACAAGGAGAAAAGUCUAGUUGUUCGCAUGGUUUAUGAUGAAUUAUAUCGGACUGAUUCCAACCAUGCCGUUUGUAGACUUUCGUGCACAUAAGUACAGCAGAAUGGACUUUUCUGCCCAUCCAGAUAAGAACUUUUGUUCUGCUAGUUUUGGUGAUAUGUGACUUGUUCCUUCCAUGUUGAAAUGUUUUGACUCUGUUCAUGAUAUGUGUGAUUUCCUCUCAUGUAUUUACUAUUAAUGUAUUCUUUACUUUUUUCUUAUAUGAAUAAUACUCACCCUUGCAUCUA